rnacentral:rRNA from 1 species
AACAGGAUUAGAUACCCUGGUAGUCCACGCUGUAAACGAUGAUUACUCGCUGUUGGCGAUACACAGUCAGUGGCUAAGCGAAAGUGACAAGUAAUCCACCUGGGGAGUACGACGGCAACGUUGAAACUCAAAGGAAUUGACGGGGGCCCGCACAAGCGGAGGAGCAUGUGGUUUAAUUCGAUGAUACGCGAGGAACCUUACCAGGGCUAGAACGCAAGUUGAUUAUGUGCGAAAGUAUAUAUCUCUUCGGAGCAAUUUGCGAGGUGCUGCAUGGUUGUCGUCAGCUCGUGCCGUGAGGUGUCAGGUUAAGUCCUAUAACGAGCGCAACCCCUACUCUUAGUUGCCAGCAUGUCAUGAUGGGGACUCUAAGAGAACUGCCUACGCAAGUAGAGAGGAAGGUGGGGAUGACGUCAAAUCAGCACGGCCCUUAUGUCCUGGGCUACACACGUGCUACAAUGGUCGGUACAGAGGGCAGCUACCUGGCGACAGGAUGCUAAUCUCAAAAGCCGAUCUCAGUUCGGAUCGGAGUCUGCAACUCGACUCCGUGAAGUUGGAUUCGCUAGUAAUCGCGCAUCAGCCAUGGCGCGGUGAAUACGUUCCCGGGCCUUGUACACACCGCCCGUCAAGCCAUGGAAGCUGGGGGUACCUAAAGUCCGUAACCGCAAGGAGCGGCCUAGGGUAAAACUAGUGACUGGGGCUAAGUCGUAACAAGGUAACC